UAAAAUGCGGUAUUGAGCUGGCAUCUCCAAGGCACUAUCUGUCCUGGGAAGAGGAGGGUUUUUAAAUCCUUCUUUUCUAAACUACGAAAAAAGGGAGUGUGUGGGGCUCUGGAGGGAAAAGACAGUAACAGGCAACGAUCAUAAUGAUGUUAAUCCUCAGCCUGAUGAAUUUAAAACCACGUAGGGCGAGCGUUCAAGUCUGCAAUCCAUGCAUUCAAUGAGGAAACUCCGAGAAGCAAGUAUAAGUGUGAGAAACCAGCCUCUACCUCAGAGCACAGCUGUCCAAGGAAGGGUCUUGACCCUGUCCUUGGAAAAACCCACUGAGCACUCCUAGGCACAUACCCACCUGCUGAGUUGUUUAUCUACAAAUAACAGGAGAGAUCUGAGGCACCAGGUGUCCCUGACUCAGUCAGGCUAGGUGAGGACCCAUAGCAACCCCCUAGCAACCACCAAUCAGCAUGAGACAGGGAAAAUACCUGGGAUGCCAGAUGACCCUCCCAGUAGUUUAUGGUGGUUGACAACAUGUUGGGAAACCAUGUAGUUCUCGUGCCUUAAGGCAAUCAGUUCAAAGGAAUCCCCCUCUUGUACUCACCAAUCACCCCUACCCAACUUGUUCCCGCCAGUGAAUGUGCUAAUCAUGUUUUAGAGUUGUUUUAUGAUUUUCCCUCGGUGUGUGAUGAUUUCCUAAGAGAUGCUAUGAUGUAUGUGAAGUCCCUGCCUUCCCCAAAGAGUGUAUAAAACUGCUGCAAACCCU
rnacentral:lncRNA from 1 species